rnacentral:rRNA from 1 species
CACUUCCUGCGGGAGGCAGCAGUGGGGAAUUUUGGACAAUGGGCGAAAGCCUGAUCCAGCAAUGCCGCGUGAGUGAAGAAGGCCUUCGGGUUGUAAAGCUCUUUUGUCAGGGAAGAAACGGUGAAAGCUAAUAUCUUUUGCUAAUGACGGUACCUGAAGAAUAAGCACCGGCUAACUACGUGCCAGCAGCCGCGGUAAUACGUAGGGUGCAAGCGUUAAUCGGAAUUACUGGGCGUAAAGCGUGCGCAGGCGGUUUUGUAAGUCUGAUGUGAAAGCCCCGGGCUCAACCUGGGAAUUGCAUUGGAGACUGCAAGGCUAGAAUCUGGCAGAGGGGGGUAGAAUUCCACGUGUAGCAGUGAAAUGCGUAGAUAUGUGGAGGAACACCGAUGGCGAAGGCAGCCCCCUGGGUCAAGAUUGACGCUCAUGCACGAAAGCGUGGGGAGCAAACAGGAUUAGAAACCCCGGUAGUCCCAUGAU